rnacentral:rRNA from 1 species
UGGGGAAUUUUGGACAAUGGGGGAAACCCUGAUCCAGCCAUCCCGCGUGUGCGAUGAAGGCCUUCGGGUUGUAAAGCACUUUUGGCAGGAAAGAAACGUCGCGGGUUAAUACCCCGCGAAACUGACGGUACCUGCAGAAUAAGCACCGGCUAACUACGUGCCAGCAGCCGCGGUAAUACGUAGGGUGCAAGCGUUAAUCGGAAUUACUGGGCGUAAAGCGUGCGCAGGCGGUUCGGAAAGAAAGAUGUGAAAUCCCGGAGCUUAACUUUGGAACUGCAUUUUUAACUACCGGGCUAGAGUGUGUCAGAGGGAGGUGGAAUUCCGCGUGUAGCAGUGAAAUGCGUAGAUAUGCGGAGGAACACCGAUGGCGAAGGCAGCCUCCUGGGAUAACACUGACGCUCAUGCACGAAAGCGUGGGGAGCAAACAGGAUUAGAUACCCUGGUAGUCCACGCCCUAAACGAUGUCAACUAGCUGUUGGGGCCUUCGGGCCUUGGUAGCGCAGCUAACGCGUGAAGUUGACCGCCUGGGGAGUACGGUC